rnacentral:rRNA from 1 species
UACGUAGGUGGCAAGCGUUGUCCGGAAUUACUGGGCGUAAAGGGCGCGUAGGCGGUCAGGUCAGUCCCGUGUGAAAUCCCUCGGCUCAACUGAGGAACUGCACGGGAAACUGCCUGGCUUGAGUUCGGGAGAGGGAAGCGGAAUUCCGGGUGUAGCGGUGAAAUGCGUAGAUAUCUGGAGGAAUACCGGUGGCGAAGGCGGCAUCCUGGACCAUUACUGACGCUGAGGCGCGAAAGCUAGGGGAGCAAACGGG